AAGAAUCAAAUAUAACCUUUGAGGAUGCUGCUGGCCUUUUUUGUGGGCAGGUGCACUCCUCACAUGUGUUCUAUUUUGACCACUGUUCACAAACCAUGUGCACCCUUUGUAGGUUCGGGCCCUUGGCUCCGACAACCUAUGUUUUCCGCUUUUUCGCACCCAUGAAAAUCAUAUUUGGUUUGAAUGUUCUUUUUUGGAUAAUGCA
rnacentral:misc_RNA from 1 species